rnacentral:rRNA from 1 species
GACGAACGCUGGCGGCGUGCUUAACACAUGCAAGUCGAACGAUGAGGAAAAGAAUUGAAGCUUCGGCAGAAAUUCAUUUCGGAUUAGUGGCAGACGGGUGAGUAACGCGUGAGCAACCUACCUCUUACAAAGGGAUAGCCUCGGGAAACCGGGAUUAAUACCAUAUAACAUUGCGACGAAGCAUUUCGAUGCAAUCAAAGCUACGGCGGUAAGAGAUGGGCUCGCGUCCCAUUAACCAGAUGGUGAGGUAACGGCUCACCAUAGUAACGAUGGGUAACCGGCCUGAGAGGGUGAACGGUCACACUGGAACUGAGACACGGUCCAGACUCCUACGGGAGGCAGCAGUGGGGAAUAUUGCACAAUGGAGGGAACUCUGAUGCAGCGACGCCGCGUGAGUGAUGAAGGAAUUCGUUUCGUAAAACUCUGUUCUAUGGGAAGAAAAGGACUGUACCAUAGGAGAAAGCUCCGGCUAAAUACGUG